rnacentral:rRNA from 1 species
GGCACGGGGCGGCGGCUAACACAUGCAGUCGAGCGGUAGCACAGGGAGCUUGCUCCUGGGUGACGAGCGGCGGACGGGUGAGUAAUGUCUGGGAAACUGCCCGAUGGAGGGGGAUAACUACUGGAAACGGUAGCUAAUACCGCAUAACGUCUUCGGACCAAAGUGGGGGACCUUCGGGCCUCACACCAUCGGAUGUGCCCAGAUGGGAUUAGCUAGUAGGUGAGGUAAUGGCUCACCUAGGCGACGAUCCCUAGCUGGUCUGAGAGGAUGACCAGCCACACUGGAACUGAGACACGGUCCAGACUCCUACGGGAGGCAGCAGUGGGGAAUAUUGCACAAUGGGCGCAAGCCUGAUGCAGCCAUGCCGCGUGUGUGAAGAAGGCCUUCGGGUUGUAAAGCACUUUCAGCGAGGAGGAAGGGUUCGGUGUUAAUAGCACCGUUCAUUGACGUUACUCGCAGAAGAAGCACCGGCUAACUCCGUGCCAGCAGCCGCGGUAAUACGGAGGGUGCAAGCGUUAAUCGGAAUUACUGGGCGUAAAGCGCACGCAGGCGGUUUGUUAAGUCAGAUGUGAAAUCCCCGAGCUUAACUUGGGAACUGCAUUUGAAACUGGCAAGCUAGAGUCUUGUAGAGGGGGGUAGAAUUCCAGGUGUAGCGGUGAAAUGCGUAGAGAUCUGGAGGAAUACCGGUGGCGAAAGCGCCCCCCUGGACAAAGACUGACACUCAUGUGCCAAUGGCGUGGGGAGACAAAUGGAUUUAG